rnacentral:rRNA from 1 species
GACGAACGCUGGCGGCGUGCUUAACACAUGCAAGUCGAGCGGUAAGGCCCUUUCGGGGGUACACGAGCGGCGAACGGGUGAGUAACACGUGGGUGACCUGCCCUCAGCUCUGGGAUAAGCCUGGGAAACCGGGUCUAAUACUGGAUAUGACUCCAUGACGCAUGUUGUGGGGUGGAAAGCCUUGUGCGGCUGUAGGAUGGGCCCGCGGCCUAUCAGCUUGUUGGUGGGGUGANGGCCUACCAAGGCGACGACGGGUAGCCGGCCUGAGAGGCGACCGGCCACACUGGGACUGAGACACGGCCCAGACUCCUACGGGAGGCAGCAGUGGGGAAUCUUGCGCAAUGGGCGAAAGCCUGACGCAGCGACGCCGCGUGAGGGAUGGACGGCCU